GUGCUCGCUUCGGCAGCACAUAUACUAAAAUUGGAACGAUACAGAGAAGAUUAGCAUGGCCCCUGUGCAAGGAUGACAUGCAAGCGUUCCAUAUUUUAUUUAAAAUUUUU